UUAAGCGACUAAGCGUACACGGUGGAUGCCCUGGCAGUCAGAGGCGAUGAAGGACGUGCUAAUCUGCGAUAAGCGUCGGUAAGGUGAUAUGAACCGUUAUAACCGGCGAUUUCCGAAUGGGGAAACCCAGUGUGAUUCGUCACACUAUCAUUAACUGAAUUCAUAGGUUAAUGAGGCGAACCGGGGGAACUGAAACAUCUAAGUACCCCGAGGAAAAGAAAUCAACCGAGAUUCCCCCAGUAGCGGCGAGCGAACGGGGAGCAGCCCAGAGCCUGAAUCAGUGUGUGUGUUAGUGGAAGCGUCUGGAAAGGCGCGCGAUACAGGGUGACAGCCCCGUACACAAAAUGCAUGCUGUGAGCUCGAUGAGUAGGGCGGGACACGUGGUAUCCUGUCUGAAUAUGGGGACCAUCCUCCAAGGCUAAAUACUCCUGACUGACCGAUAGUGAACCAGUACCGUGAGGGAAAGGCGAAAAGAACCCCGGCGAGGGGAGUGAAAAAGAACCUGAAACCGUGUACGUACAAGCAGUGGGAGCACGCUUAGGCGUGUGACUGCGUACCUUUUGUAUAAUGGGUCAGCGACUUAUAUUCUGUAGCAAGGUUAACCGAAUAGGGGAGCCGAAGGGAAACCGAGUCUUAACUGGGCGUUAAGUUGCAGGGUAUAGACCCGAAACCCGGUGAUCUAGCCAUGGGCAGGUUGAAGGUUGGGUAACACUAACUGGAGGACCGAACCGACUAAUGUUGAAAAAUUAGCGGAUGACUUGUGGCUGGGGGUGAAAGGCCAAUCAAACCGGGAGAUAGCUGGUUCUCCCCGAAAGCUAUUUAGGUAGCGCCUCGUGAAUUCAUCUCCGGGGGUAGAGCACUGUUUCGGCAAGGGGGUCAUCCCGACUUACCAACCCGAUGCAAACUGCGAAUACCGGAGAAUGUUAUCACGGGAGACACACGGCGGGUGCUAACGUCCGUCGUGAAGAGGGAAACAACCCAGACCGCCAGCUAAGGUCCCAAAGUCAUGGUUAAGUGGGAAACGAUGUGGGAAGGCCCAGACAGCCAGGAUGUUGGCUUAGAAGCAGCCAUCAUUUAAAGAAAGCGUAAUAGCUCACUGGUCGAGUCGGCCUGCGCGGAAGAUGUAACGGGCUAAACCAUGCACCGAAGCUGCGGCAGCGACGCUGAUGCGUUGUUGGGUAGGGGAGCGUUCUGUAAGCCUGCGAAGGUGUGCUGUGAGGCAUGCUGGAGGUAUCAGAAGUGCGAAUGCUGACAUAAGUAACGAUAAAGCGGGUGAAAAGCCCGCUCGCCGGAAGACCAAGGGUUCCUGUCCAACGUUAAUCGGGGCAGGGUGAGUCGACCCCUAAGGCGAGGCCGAAAGGCGUAGUCGAUGGGAAACAGGUUAAUAUUCCUGUACUUGGUGUUACUGCGAAGGGGGGACGGAGAAGGCUAUGUUGGCCGGGCGACGGUUGUCCCGGUUUAAGCGUGUAGGCUGGUUUUCCAGGCAAAUCCGGAAAAUCAAGGCUGAGGCGUGAUGACGAGGCACUACGGUGCUGAAGCAACAAAUGCCCUGCUUCCAGGAAAAGCCUCUAAGCAUCAGGUAACAUCAAAUCGUACCCCAAACCGACACAGGUGGUCAGGUAGAGAAUACCAAGGCGCUUGAGAGAACUCGGGUGAAGGAACUAGGCAAAAUGGUGCCGUAACUUCGGGAGAAGGCACGCUGAUAUGUAGGUGAAGCGACUUGCUCGUGGAGCUGAAAUCAGUCGAAGAUACCAGCUGGCUGCAACUGUUUAUUAAAAACACAGCACUGUGCAAACACGAAAGUGGACGUAUACGGUGUGACGCCUGCCCGGUGCCGGAAGGUUAAUUGAUGGGGUUAGCGCAAGCGAAGCUCUUGAUCGAAGCCCCGGUAAACGGCGGCCGUAACUAUAACGGUCCUAAGGUAGCGAAAUUCCUUGUCGGGUAAGUUCCGACCUGCACGAAUGGCGUAAUGAUGGCCAGGCUGUCUCCACCCGAGACUCAGUGAAAUUGAACUCGCUGUGAAGAUGCAGUGUACCCGCGGCAAGACGGAAAGACCCCGUGAACCUUUACUAUAGCUUGACACUGAACAUUGAGCCUUGAUGUGUAGGAUAGGUGGGAGGCUUUGAAGUGUGGACGCCAGUCUGCAUGGAGCCGACCUUGAAAUACCACCCUUUAAUGUUUGAUGUUCUAACGUUGACCCGUGAUCCGGGUUGCGGACAGUGUCUGGUGGGUAGUUUGACUGGGGCGGUCUCCUCCUAAAGAGUAACGGAGGAGCACGAAGGUUGGCUAAUCCUGGUCGGACAUCAGGAGGUUAGUGCAAUGGCAUAAGCCAGCUUGACUGCGAGCGUGACGGCGCGAGCAGGUGCGAAAGCAGGUCAUAGUGAUCCGGUGGUUCUGAAUGGAAGGGCCAUCGCUCAACGGAUAAAAGGUACUCCGGGGAUAACAGGCUGAUACCGCCCAAGAGUUCAUAUCGACGGCGGUGUUUGGCACCUCGAUGUCGGCUCAUCACAUCCGGGCUGAAGUAGGUCCCAAGGGUAUGGCUGUUCGCCAUUUAAAGUGGUACGCGAGCUGGGUUUAGAACGUCGUGAGACAGUUCGGUCCCUAUCUGCCGUGGGCGCUGGAGAACUGAGGGGGGCUGCUCCUAGUACGAGAGGACCGGAGUGGACGCAUCACUGGUGUUCGGGUUGUCAUGCCAAUGGCACUGCCCGGUAGCUAAAUGCGGAAGAGAUAAGUGCUGAAAGCAUCUAAGCACGAAACUUGCCCCGAGAUGAGUUCUCCCUGACUCCUUGAGAGUCCUGAAGGAACGUUGAAGACGACGACGUUGAUAGGCCGGGUGUGUAAGCGCAGCGAUGCGUUGAGCUAACCGGUACUAAUGAACCGUGAGGCUUAACCU
rnacentral:rRNA from 1 species